rnacentral:rRNA from 1 species
GUAGUCAUAUGCUUGUCUCAAAGAUUAAGCCAUGCAUGUCUAAGUAUAAGCAAUUAUACAGCGAAACUGCGAAUGGCUCAUUAUAUAAGUUAUCGUUUAUUUGAUAGUACCUUACUACUUGGAUAACCGUGGUAAUUCUAGAGCUAAUACAUGCUAAAAAUCCCGACUUACGAAGGGAUGUAUUUAUUAGAUUAAAAACCAAUGCCCUUCGGGGCUCACUGGUGAUUCAUAAUAACUUCUCGAAUCGCAUGGCCUUGCGCCGGCGAUGGUUCAUUCAAAUUUCUUCCCUAUCAACUUUCGAUGCUAGAGUAGUGUUCUAGCAUGGUUACAACGGGUAACGGGGAAU